CCCUUAGAUGUUCUGGGCCGCACGCGCGCUACACUGAUGCAUUCAACGAGUCCAACCUUGACCGAGAGGUCCGGGUAAUCUUUGAAACUGCAUCGUGAUGGGGCUAGAUUAUUGCAAUUAUUAAUCUUCAACGAGGAAUGCCUAGUAAGCGUGAUUCAUCAAAUCGCGUUGAUUACGUCCCUGCCCUCUGUACACACCGCCCGUCGCUCCUACCGAUUGAGUGUGUUGGUGAGGAGUUUGGAUUGGCCUCGGAAGGUGGUUCGCCACCGUCCGUAGCUGAGAAGUUCUCCAAACCGCCCCACUUAGAGGAAGGAGAAGUCGUAACA
rnacentral:rRNA from 1 species